GCUGCUGGACAACAAUACAAUGGAGGACAGGGAGGACAGGUUGGACAUGGAGUACUAAAUGUUGGUAUUAAUAUCAAUGGUAUAUUAAAUAGUAAUGGUAUAGCUAAUGGAAAUUCACCGUCAAUUAAUAGUGAAAACAAAAUUAAUAAUCAUGUAUAUGGAGGACAUGGAGUAAUAAAUACUGGUAUUAAUAUCAAUGGUAUAUUAAAUGGUAAUGGUAUAGCUAAUGGAAAUUCACAAUCAAUUAAUAGUGGAAAUAUAAUUAAUAAUCAUAAAAAUGGUAUACAUGGAGGUUAUAGAGGUUAUGGAGGUUAUGGAGGACAUAAAGGACAUGGAGUAAUAAAUACUGGUAUUAAUAUCAAUGGUAUAUUAAAUGGUAAUGGUAUAGCUAAUGGAAAUUCGCCGUCAAUUAAUA